rnacentral:rRNA from 1 species
UACGGAGGGUGCAAGCGUUAUCCGGAUUCACUGGGCGUAAAGGGUGGCGUAGGCCGCACGGUAAGUCAGAGGUGAAAUCCCGGAGCUCAACUCCGGAAUGGCCUCCGAUACUGCCGUGCUCGAGGACUGGAGAGGAGUCUGGAAUUCACAGUGGAGCAGUGAAAUGCGUAGAUAUUGUGAGGAACACUAGUGGCGAAGGCGAGACUCUGGACAGUUCCUGACGCUGAGGCACGAAGGCCAGGGGAGCAAACGGG